rnacentral:rRNA from 1 species
GACGAACGCUGGCGGCGUGCCUAAUACAUGCAAGUCGAACGCAGUGGGGACGGGUGAGUAACACGUGGGUAACCUCCCAUCACAGGGGAUAAGACUUGGAAACAGGUGCUAAACCGAUACUGAUGGAUGGACCCGCGGUGCAUUAGCUAGUUGGUGGGGUAACGGCUCACCAAGGCCACGAUCCAUAGCCGGCCUGAGAGGGUGAUCGGCCACACUGGGACUGAGACACGGCCCAGACUCCUACGGGAGGCAGCAGUAGGGAAUCUUCGGCAAUGGGCGAAAGUCUGACCGAGCAACGCCGCGUGAGUGAAGAAGGUUUUCGGAUCGUAAAACUCUGUUGUUAGAGAAGCGGUAUCUGACCAGAAAGCAACGGCUAACUACGUGCCAGCCGCCGCGGUAAUUC